rnacentral:rRNA from 1 species
UACGAAGGGGGCUAGCGUUGCUCGGAAUGACUGGGCGUAAAGGGCGCGUAGGCGGUUCAUACAGUCAGAUGUGAAAUUCCUGGGCUCAACCUGGGGGGCUGCAUUUGAUACGUGUGGACUAGAGUGGGGAAGAGGGGUCGUGGAAUUCCCAGUGUAGAGGUGAAAUUCGUAGAUAUUGGGAAGAACACCGGUGGCGAAGGCGGCGACCUGGUCCUUGACUGACGCUGAGGCGCGAAAGCGUGGGGAGCAAA